AUUGAACGCUGGCGGCAGGCCUAACACAUGCAAGUCGAGCGGCAGCGGGAAAGUAGCUUGCUACUUUUGCCGGCGAGCGGCGGACGGGUGAGUAAUGCCUGGGAAAUUGCCCAGUCGAGGGGGAUAACAGUUGGAAACGACUGCUAAUACCGCAUACGCCCUACGGGGGAAAGCAGGGGACCUUCGGGCCUUGCGCGAUUGGAUAUGCCCAGGUGGGAUUAGCUAGUUGGUGAGGUAAUGGCUCACCAAGGCGACGAUCCCUAGCUGGUCUGAGAGGAUGAUCAGCCACACUGGAACGGAGACACGGUCCAGACUCCUACGGGAGGCAGCAGUGGGAAAUAUUGCACAAUGGGGGAAACCCUGAUGCAGCCAUGCCGCGUGUGUGAAGAAGGCCUUCGGGUUGUAAAGCACUUUCAGCGAGGAGGAAAGGUUGAUGCCUAAUACGUAUCAACUGUGACGUUACUCGCAGAAGAAGCACCGGCUAACUCCGUGCCAGCCGCCGCCGUAAGAC
rnacentral:rRNA from 1 species